rnacentral:rRNA from 1 species
CAGUAGCCGCGGGAAUACGUAGGGUGCGAGCGUUAAUCGGAAUUACUGGGCGUAAAGCGUGCGCAGGCGGUUGUGUAAGACAGGUGUGAAAUCCCCGGGCUCAACCUGGGAAUGGCGCUUGUGACUGCAAAGCUAGAGUGCGGCAGAGGGGGAUGGAAUUCCGCGUGUAGCAGUGAAAUGCGUAGAUAUGCGGAGGAACACCGAUGGCGAAGGCAAUCCCCUGGGCCCGCACUGACGCUCAUGCACGAAAGCGUGGGGAGCAAACAGGAUUAGAGACCCGUGUAGUCCCUGUCUCUUAUAC